UUCUUCUCUCUUUUGUCUUGGCGGUUGGCGACUUGGCAUUUGCAAGUUUUUGGAAGUUGUGAAUUAUUGUGAUUGAAUAUUUACAGUAAUAAGUUUACAUAAACUUAUUUUUAAUAAGUUGAUCUCAAGUUAUAAUAGUUGUUAAUAAAUUGAGUGAGUGACUGUGUUGGCGGUUGGCGACUUGGCGUUUGCAAGUUUUUGGAGGUUGUGAAUUAUUGUGAUUGAAUAUUUACAAAAAAACAUGAGCAGUGAUGAAAACAACAACUGAUAACGAUGAAAACAAGUUACAUCGACAUCUUUUUGUGAUGCAU